CAAACCUUUUAUCACCCAUUGUAAGUUUGAUGUCAUCGUGAUGAAUGAAACUCAGAAUGAUUACUCACGAAAUAUGAAAGAAAAACCAAAGGAGGAUUUGACACCAUUUUUGGAUUCACCAAUGCCAGGCACAGUGAUCUCAGUUACAUGAGAACCAGGACAAGAGGUAGCUGAAGGUCAAGAGGUCUGUGUUGUUGAA